rnacentral:tRNA from 1 species
GAGGAUAUAGCUUAGUGGUAGAGUGCGUGCUUAGCAUGCAUGAGGUCCUGGGUUCAAUCCCCAGUGCCUCCA